GCCCCUAUCGUCUAGUCCGGCCAAGGAUGCUGGCCUUUCAAGCCAGUGACCCGGGUUCGAAUCCCGGUGGGGGCA
rnacentral:tRNA from 1 species